AUGGAAGCACAUUCAGAUUACCGGGUUUGGAUAGAAUUACGCGUUAAGAAUUGGUUACCUCCCCUUUCAUAUGUUUUACCAUUUACCAUGAAAUGAGUUGACGAUCGAUUUUCUCGAAUAUACACUGUAUCAAGGGAGGUAACUAGAAGAUAUACAUUGUGAUUAUUUGUAGAAAGGGAGGUAAUAAAAGAAAUUUGGAAUCGCCAACAUUCAAACAUUAUUAGUGUAAUCGUUAUUGAGUGCGAUAUGGAAAUAA